GACCAGCAUUGAGCGGGAACUAUCUCUGUCAGAGUAUAUAAGGGAGAACAAAAGAAUGUGACACUCUCUUCUCUGUCUGCCCUGCGUGGUGUCACAGGGAGACCGAAUAUAUACAAACAACAUAUUUACCAUUCAAGUGUUUGCAAUAAUUAAAGAACAAAGAAAACUUGAGUUACUCUUUGUUAACUAAUUGGUUCUAAUACCAGAUUCGAAUUGACGUGACUCGACAUUAGUUUGGCCACUGUUGAUCUACACAGAUGUGGAUUAAAAUGUCAAGACAGGAGAAGGAGCAUACUUGAAUUUAUUCUGGAUGCUUGAAACUGACCUGUCUGCUGCCUUUGAUACUGUGAACCAUCAGAUCCUCCUCUCCACCCUCUCCGAGUUGGGCAUCUCCGGCGCGGCUCACUCUUGGAUUGCGUCCUACCUGACAGGACGCUCCUACCAGGUGGCGAAUCGCAUCUCUGCAUGUCUGGCAGACAUAUCAGUGUGGAUGACGGAUCACUACCUCAAGCUGAACCUCGGCAAGACGGAGCUGCUCUUCCUCCCAGGGAAGGACUGCCCGUUCCAUGAUCUCGCCAUCACGGUUGACAACUCCAUUGUGUCCUCCUCCCAGAGUGCCAAGAGCCUUGGCGUGACCCUGGACAACACCCUGUCGUUUUCCGCUAACAUCAAGGCGGUGACCCG
rnacentral:lncRNA from 1 species